rnacentral:RNase_P_RNA from 2 species
AAAGCAAACCGGGCAAUUACCCUUGGCCGCUUCGGCGGCCGGGGGAGGAAAGUCCGGACAUCUAGCCGUGCAUGGCGCGAAAAUUCCAAGUCCGAUUGGGAUUUGGAAAUUCCGCGCUGUGUGCGGCAUCGGCAGCGGGUAACACCCGUCUAGGGCGACCUACGAGGUGCGAGCAGAGACGCUGUAAUCCGAAAGGAUUAUGGAUCCCAGAAAUGGGAUAAUCUUCGAAAUAAGUCCAAGGCUUGCCUUGGACAAAGUCGGAGGGUGAAACGGCUAAAUCCUUGCCUGGAUGCAAGGCCGUGUCCAGUAUUCCCCUAGGAAAUAUUGGAAGUGCUGCGCGAGCCGAACGGUGACGUUCGGCCCAGAUAAAUUAUUGUCCAAGACAGAAUCCGGCUUAUAGGUUUGCUUUGAUA